GUUAAGCGACUAAGCGUACACGGUGGAUGCCCUGGCAGUCAGAGGCGAUGAAGGACGUGCUAAUCUGCGAUAAGCGUCGGUAAGGUGAUAUGAACCGUUAUAACCGGCGAUUUCCGAAUGGGGAAACCCAGUGUGUUUCGACACACUAUCAUUAACUGAAUCCAUAGGUUAAUGAGGCGAACCGGGGGAACUGAAACAUCUAAGUACCCCGAGGAAAAGAAAUCAACCGAGAUUCCCCCAGUAGCGGCGAGCGAACGGGGAGCAGCCCAGAGCCUGAAUCAGUGUGUGUGUUAGUGGAAGCGUCUGGAAAGGCGCGCGAUACAGGGUGACAGCCCCGUACACAAAAAUGCACAUGCUGUGAGCUCGAUGAGUAGGGCGGGACACGUGGUAUCCUGUCUGAAUAUGGGGGGACCAUCCUCCAAGGCUAAAUACUCCUGACUGACCGAUAGUGAACCAGUACCGUGAGGGAAAGGCGAAAAGAACCCCGGCGAGGGGAGUGAAAAAGAACCUGAAACCGUGUACGUACAAGCAGUGGGAGCACGCUUAGGCGUGUGACUGCGUACCUUUUGUAUAAUGGGUCAGCGACUUAUAUUCUGUAGCAAGGUUAACCGAAUAGGGGAGCCGAAGGGAAACCGAGUCUUAACUGGGCGUUAAGUUGCAGGGUAUAGACCCGAAACCCGGUGAUCUAGCCAUGGGCAGGUUGAAGGUUGGGUAACACUAACUGGAGGACCGAACCGACUAAUGUUGAAAAAUUAGCGGAUGACUUGUGGCUGGGGGUGAAAGGCCAAUCAAACCGGGAGAUAGCUGGUUCUCCCCGAAAGCUAUUUAGGUAGCGCCUCGUGAAUUCAUCUCCGGGGGUAGAGCACUGUUUCGGCAAGGGGGUCAUCCCGACUUACCAACCCGAUGCAAACUGCGAAUACCGGAGAAUGUUAUCACGGGAGACACACGGCGGGUGCUAACGUCCGUCGUGAAGAGGGAAACAACCCAGACCGCCAGCUAAGGUCCCAAAGUCAUGGUUAAGUGGGAAACGAUGUGGGAAGGCCCAGACAGCCAGGAUGUUGGCUUAGAAGCAGCCAUCAUUUAAAGAAAGCGUAAUAGCUCACUGGUCGAGUCGGCCUGCGCGGAAGAUGUAACGGGGCUAAACCAUGCACCGAAGCUGCGGCAGCGACGCUUAUGCGUUGUUGGGUAGGGGAGCGUUCUGUAAGCCUGUGAAGGUGUGCUGUGAGGCAUGCUGGAGGUAUCAGAAGUGCGAAUGCUGACAUAAGUAACGAUAAAGCGGGUGAAAAGCCCGCUCGCCGGAAGACCAAGGGUUCCUGUCCAACGUUAAUCGGGGCAGGGUGAGUCGACCCCUAAGGCGAGGCCGAAAGGCGUAGUCGAUGGGAAACAGGUUAAUAUUCCUGUACUUGGUGUUACUGCGAAGGGGGGACGGAGAAGGCUAUGUUGGCCGGGCGACGGUUGUCCCGGUUUAAGCGUGUAGGCUGGUUUUCCAGGCAAAUCCGGAAAAUCAAGGCUGAGGCGUGAUGACGAGGCACUACGGUGCUGAAGCAACAAAUGCCCUGCUUCCAGGAAAAGCCUCUAAGCAUCAGGUAACAUCAAAUCGUACCCCAAACCGACACAGGUGGUCAGGUAGAGAAUACCAAGGCGCUUGAGAGAACUCGGGUGAAGGAACUAGGCAAAAUGGUGCCGUAACUUCGGGAGAAGG
rnacentral:rRNA from 1 species